rnacentral:rRNA from 1 species
AUGAACGCUGGCGGCGUGCCUAAUACAUGCAAGUCGAGCGAACAGACGAGGAGCUUGCUCCUCUGACGUUAGCGGCGGACGGGUGAGUAACACGUGGAUAACCUACCUAUAAGACUGGGAUAACUUCGGGAAACCGGAGCUAAUACCGGAUAAUAUAUUGAACCGCAUGGUUCAAUAGUGAAAGACGGUUUUGCUGUCACUUAUAGAUGGAUCCGCGCCGCAUUAGCCAGUUGGUAAGGUAACGGCUUACCAAGGCAACGAUGCGUAGCCGACCUGAGAGGGUGAUCGGCCACACUGGAACUGAGACACGGUCCAGACUCCUACGGGAGGCAGCAGUAGGGAAUCUUCCGCAAUGGGCGAAAGCCUGACGGAGCAACGCCGCGUGAGUGAUGAAGGUCUUCGGACCGUAAAACUCUGUUAUUAGGGAAGAACAAAUGUGUAAGUAACUAUGCACGUCUUGACGGUACCUAAUCAGAAGGCCACGGCUAACUACGUG